GGAAAUUAAUACUUUUGGUAUGACACUUCAGAAGGGGAGGAAACGCUGUCAUCAGAUGACGAGGAACUUUCGGAGGAAAUGACAACAUGUCAUCGGACGACGAUAGUGAUCUUUGCUUGCCUUGGAAUGUACGUCGUAUCUAUGACCCGGCUGUAUCCCUCCGGAUUUUAUGUAGAUUUCCUUCAACAAUCUGGCUUCAGUACCAUAAUAGGCACUGUUUCCAUUUCUGCAACUUUUAUUACUUCGCCUGCUGGCCCAUACAUCUACAACCUUUUACCAAAGACCACCAGAAACGCGUCCCUUCUCAAACGAUAUCUGUGUGUGAGCAUGUUGAACCUGAUCUGUUCCUCCAUGAUGGCUUUGAUCCGAGUAUUCAUUGAUACGAACUCUGGUGCUUCAGUUCUUUUCGGAACUAUAGCAUUACUGAGGGGUUUCAAGGUGUUGCAAUCGGCAUAAUGCUUGUGUUUGUUCAGGGCGAGGUUAUAGAUUUGUAUCUUAAAGAAGAUAAGAAGGCGAUGAUCUUGAUAAGCAGUUUCGUGCAAUUUGGGGCAGUCUUAUCAUCAAUAUUGGGCACUGAGCUAUUUGUAGCUGGUGGGUGGGUAUUAGUUAGUUUUGGUACGGCCUCCUUCAAUAUCCUUCCUCUUUUUGUACUACCAUUACUGACGAAGGCAGAAUCAAAAAGUUUAAUGUCAUCAUGACAAUGGCAAUAGGAAACGCAGUUUACUACGGUGGAGCAGUAGUGGCAUUCGGAGCCACAACAUGUGAUUUCAAAUUCUUGGAAUUGACACACCAGUUGUUGAUAGGAUUGAUUCUAAUGGGUCUAGGGGAGGGUUUCAGUUUUAACCUGUACACCCCCAGCAAGUUUUAUCUUUACAAAAAAUGGAGUGUAGACAACAGUGGCCUCGGAGAACAGUCAGCCAAGAUCUUCAACAUCGUUUUAAACCUUGCUUCUGCUAUGGGGACUGCUGUAUCUGCACUGUCGUUGACAGAAAAGAGUGAAAUUCCAACUAUAGCUGCGAUUUCAGGAAUUGGUAUUUUUUUAACGUUGGGACUAUUUCUUUGUAAUCUGGUUACAUAAGUUCGGAUUUGGAUGACCAAUUAACUAAUUAAAGAGUUCACUGUGGAUGGCCCACAUAAUGCUACACGAUUGAAAUUACCAAAUAAAGCUUUGUUAAACGGAAAAUCAUCACAAUCGAAGGAAACAUUUUGGAAGAUUUUUGAAUAUUUGCUUUUGUGCCGUUUCCUAGACCGACAUUUCACAGUUUUGACUGAAACUUUUACCAGUCACCAUUCAGUGAGGUCAACUUGUUUUCUUGGGUAAAUUUUUAUUGAUCCCGUUUGAUGCGACAUUUGUAUCGCAUUUUUGGAUUAAGUUGAUUGAAUUAAAAGUAAAUAAUUAUACACUAAU